rnacentral:piRNA from 1 species
UCAUAGAUUGUGAUCUCUUGGCCCA